GUCGGAAAGGCUGUGACGGGAGGUCUAUGUCACGCGUGUUGGAGAAGGAUUUUUAGCCUGCGAGGCCCACCUGUUGCAGUGUUGCAUGUGAAUUGUGGAUUUGAUUGCCGAGAGAUAAUACGUGUUAACUCUCUUAAACUCCCCCUCGAGGAGAGAUCUGUGAGAUCGAGUUUUAAAAGAAAGUUUGAAGGAACUUGAGGUGGCAAAGGACAACCUCUGACCUCCUUCCAGACGGGAUUUAAGUUUUGAAGUGUUAAAAGUCCUUUUCUGUGGUUGACGAUGAUGACCCUGUGUUAGUGAUUCUUGGGAUUACUAAAAGAAAACAUCAACAACAACGACGCAACGAUGACUUGGAUUACCCUGCUGAUAAUAGGCGCGGCGGCGGCGGCGGUGGGC